AUUUUCAGCGUCUCUCUCUCCUUCUCCCUCUCUCUCUCUCUCUCUCUCUCUAUUCUCCUCUUCUCUUUACCUAUGGUGGAUCUCUCUUAUCACCCAUAAUCUUUUUUAAGGUGUUGUAGUACAGAGAAAGAGAUGGGUGUUGUGUUCACCACCCAUAAUCUUCUUCAACAUCAGUCUACUACCAUAGCAACUCCGCGACUAUCCACCACCAUUGAAAAGGAAGAUUAGCAAGCAGUAAAAACCCAAUGCAGCAUUGACACCCAUCCUCGCUCUUCACUAUCGACGCUGAAUUCCCCAAAUCAGAGUUCCAAUUCAGUAAUUAACAAGAAGGAUUGGAACUUGUGGAUUGAUGCUGGAAAGAAUGUGGUGAGGAGAGAGAACAUAGAGGCCGCUGUGAGUAGGGUGAUGGACAUCGGUGAUGAUGACAGAGAAGUCUAAAGUGCUGGACGAGAUGGCACUGAAAGCUGUUAAAGAAGGUGGAUCAUCUCAUAGAAAUUUGACGGUGUUGAUUGAAGAGCUUAAGCAACUAAGAGAUCAAAGGGCUAAGGAUGAUUGAGGGGUUAUUACAUUGUCUGUGUCUAUGUUCUUUACUGCUUAUUUCAUUUUGUUGAAAUAAGGCAUUCGAAUGGCUUUUAAUAGUUAAAUUUUGUAUAUGGUUGGAAAUUAAAUGCUACAGGUUGUGGAGAAACAUUUUUAUUGAAUAGUUAAGAAUUGAAUGAAUGAACAAAUGGAUGAAUAAUUUUGUAUA